rnacentral:rRNA from 1 species
GACGAACGCUGGCGGCGUGCUUAACACAUGCAAGUCGAACGGAAAGGCCCUGCUUUUGUGGGGUGCUCGAGUGGCGAACGGGUGAGUAACACGUGAGUAACCUGCCCUUGACUUUGGGAUAACUUCAGGAAACUGGGGCUAAUACCGGAUAGGAGCUCCUGCUGCAUGGUGGGGGUUGGAAAGUUUCGGCGGUUGGGGAUGGACUCGCGGCUUAUCAGCUUGUUGGUGGGGUAGUGGCUUACCAAGGCUUUGACGGGUAGCCGGCCUGAGAGGGUGACCGGCCGCAUUGGGACUGAGAUACGGCCCAGACUCCUACGGGAGGCAGCAGUGGGGAAUAUUGCACAAUGGGCGGAAGCCUGAUGCAGCAACGCCGCGUGCGGGAUGACGGCCUUCGGGCUGUAAACCGCUUUCGCCUGUGACGAAGCGUGAGUGACGGUAAUGGGUAAAGAAGCACCGGCUAACUACGUG